rnacentral:rRNA from 1 species
GAUGAACGCUGGCGGCGUGCCUAAUACAUGCAAGUCGAGCGAACAGACGAGGAGCUUGCUCCUCUGACGUUAGCGGCGGACGGGUGAGUAACACGUGGAUAACCUACCUAUAAGACUGGGAUAACUUCGGGAAACCGGAGCUAAUACCGGAUAAUAUAUUGAACCGCAUGGUUCAAUAGUGAAAGACGGUUUUGCUGUCACUUAUAGAUGGAUCCGCGCCGCAUUAGCUAGUUGGUAAGGUAACGGCUUACCAAGGCAACGAUGCGUAGCCGACCUGAGAGGCGGAUCGGCCACACUGGAGCUGAGACACGGUCCAGACUCCUACGGGAGGCAGCAGUAGGGAAUCUUCCGCAAUGGGCGAAAGCCUGACGGAGCAACGCCGCGUGAGUGAUGAAGGUCUUCGGAUCGUAAAACUCUGUUAUUAGGGAAGAACAAACGUGUAAGUAACUAUGCACGUCUUGACGGUACCUAAUCAGAAAGCCACGGCUAACUACGUG